GACGAACGCUGGCGGCGUGCCUAAUACAUGCAAGUAGAACGCUGAAGAGAGGAGCUUGCUCUUCUUGGAUGAGUUGCGAACGGGUGAGUAACGCGUAGGUAACCUGCCUGGUAGCGGGGGGUAACUAUUGGAAACGAUAGCUAAUACCGCAUAAAAUGGAUUAUCGCAUGAUAAUCCAUUGAAAGGUGCAAAUGCAUCACUACCAGAUGGACCUGCGUUGUAUUAGCUAGUUGGUGGGGUAACGGCUCACCAAGGCGACGAUACAUAGCCGACCUGAGAGGGUGAUCGGCCACACUGGGACUGAGACACGGCCCAGACUCCUACGGGAGGCAGCAGUAGGGAAUCUUCGGCAAUGGACGGAAGUCUGACCGAGCAACGCCGCGUGAGUGAAGAAGGUUUUCGGAUCGUAAAGCUCUGUUGUAAGAGAAGAACGAGUGUGAGAGUGGAAAGUUCACACUGUGACGG
rnacentral:rRNA from 1 species